ACAGCAGGGUUGAAUUCCGGCUUGCGGCUUUGGUCUGGUAGGACUACUUGGGCUAAGUGGUGUUGAAGGCCGGGUCCUGCGCGGCAGGACGCUAUGAACCCCGUCAGGUCCGAGAGGAAGCAGCGGUAAAUAGUUGUUUCUGGGUGCCGCAGGGUUACCUGGUCGGAGCUGGCUGGCUCAAGCAAGCUGUUAGGCAGGGUCAAGGGUCGGUGCACGG
rnacentral:SRP_RNA from 1 species